rnacentral:tRNA from 1 species
UGAGGUGUCACUUAGUGGUAAAGCACUUGCCUAGCCUAUAUAAGGCCCUGGGUUUGAUCCCCAGCACCACAA